GCGCGAGUCAUUGGGUCUUGUUUAGGCUCAGAGGCGCAAUGAAAGUGAAGGAUGCCCUAGUUGGUGUCUGCGUUGGGAUCCUGGGGCCUCGAGCUCCGGGCGCACCAACGGCCCGUCCCGUCUGCGACGUCAGUGGGACGGAGCGAGAGCGUACACGUUGGGACCCGAAAGAUGGUGAACUAUGCCUGGGCAGGACGAGGCCAGAGGAAACUCUGGUGGAGGUCCGCAGCGAUUCUGACGUGCAAAUCGAUCGUCAGACCUUGGUAUAGGGGCGAAAGACUAAUCGAACCGUCUAGUAGCUGGUUCCCUCCGAAGUUUCCCUCAGGAUAGCUGGUGCUCGAGUGGAAUCAGUCUCAUCCGGUAAAGCGAAUGAUUA
rnacentral:rRNA from 1 species